GAUUAUUUCUCGUACCUUUUGCAUCAUGAUUUAGCUAGUACUACCCAAGCAAAGAGCACUUUAGUUUGGACCCCCGAAACUAGGUGAGCUACUCCAAGACAGCCUAUCAAUAGGGCGAACCCGUCUCUGUGGCAAAAGAGUGGGAAGAGCUUCGAGUAGAGGUGACAGACCUACCGAACCUAGUUAUAGCUGGUUGCCUGAGAAUUGGAUAGGAGUUCAGCCUCCAGGCUUCUUUAUUCGCUAAGGCUCCAUUCCGGCAUCCUCACCGAGAUUCUAAAGAAACCUAGAGAGUUAGUCAAAGGGGGUACAGCCCCUUUGAAACAAGAUACAACUUUCCCAGGAGGGUAAAGAUCAUAAUUACUAAAGGUAAACUAAUGCCUAAGUGGGCCUAAAAGCAGCCAUCCUUACAGAAAGCGUUACAGCUCAAGCAUUAAAUCCCAACCACAUAUCCGGAUAACCCAAUCCUAACCCCCUUAGCACUAUCAGGCCGUCUCAUGCAUACAUGAGAGCGCACAUGCUAAUAUGAGUAACAAGAGAGCACCCGCCUCUCUCCUCGCACAC
rnacentral:rRNA from 1 species